AUCACUGUGUGUGGCAACUAGCCCCAAAGCACGUAUUCUGCGGCAAGCAGAUAGUAGAAAUCGCUACGCAGUGUGCUGUGUGCACCUUCAAUGAAGGUUACGACCCAAUUUUGAAAAUUUUGGAGACGAUGGGAUGCACGAUAGGGCCGAGCGCCGCAGAUUUUGCCGCUAAGUACAAGAAUGCGCGCAUCACCCAAGCAAACCGCCGGGCGUCCCUGGAUAGCAAAGAGGCGAGGACAGCUCAGAUCGGAAGAGAAC